GUGCUUGCUUCAGCAGCACAUACACCAAAUUAGAAUGAUACAGAGAGGAUUAGCAUGGCCCUGUGCUAGGAUGACCUGCAAAUGCAUGAAGAGUUCCAUAAUGUU
ensembl:snRNA U6 U6 spliceosomal RNA